UACGAAGGGUGCAAGCGUUACUCGGCAUUACUGGGCGUAAAGCGUGCGUAGGUGGUUUGUUAAGUCUGAUGUGAAAGCCCUGGGCUCAACCUGGGAAUUGCAUUGGAAACUGGCAGGCUAGAGUACGGUAGAGGGUAGUGGAAUUCCUGGUGUAGCAGUGAAAUGCGUAGAGAUCAGGAGGAACAUCCGUGGCGAAGGCGACUACCUGGACCAGUACUGACACUGAGGCACGAAAGCGUGGGGAGCAAACAGG
rnacentral:misc_RNA from 1 species